AUUGAACGCUGGCGGCAGGCCUAACACAUGCAAGUCGAACGGCAGCACAGAAGAGCUUGCUCUUUGGGUGGCGAGUGGCGGACGAGUGAGUAAUGUCUGGGAAACUGCCCGAUGGAGGGGGAUAACUACUGGAAACGGUAGCUAAUACCGCAUAACGUCACAAGACCAAAGUGGGGGACCUUCGGGCCUCACACCAUCGGAUGUGCCCAGAUGGGAUUAGCUAGUAGGUGGGGUAAUGGCUCACCUAGGCGACGAUCCCUAGCUGGUCUGAGAGGAUGACCAGCCACACUGGAACUGAGACACGGUCCAGACUCCUACGGGAGGCAGCAGUGGGGAAUAUUGCACAAUGGGCGCAAGCCUGAUGCAGCCAUGCCGCGUGUAUGAAGAAGGCCUUCGGGUUGUAAAGUACUUUCAGCGGGGAGGAAGGCGGUGAGGUUAAUAACCUUGCCGAUUGACGUUACCCGCAGAAGAAGCACCGGCUAACUCCGUGCCAGCCGCCGCAGUAA
rnacentral:rRNA from 1 species